rnacentral:rRNA from 1 species
AUUGAACGCUGGCGGCAGGCCUAACACAUGCAAGUCGAACGGUAACAGGAAGCAGCUUGCUGCUUUGCUGACGAGUGGCGGACGGGUGAGUAAUGUCUGUGAAACUGCCCGAUGGAGGGGGAUAACUACUGGAAACGGUAGCUAAUACCGCAUAACGUCUCAAGACCAAAGAGGGGGACCUUAGGGCCUCUUUCCAUCGGCUGUGACCAGAUGGGAUUAGCUAGUAGGUGGGGUAACGGCUCACCUAGGCGACGAUCCCUAGCUGGUCUGAGAGGAUGACCAGCCACACUGGAACUGAGACACGGUCCAGACUCCUACGGGAGGCAGCAGUGGGGAAUAUUGCACAAUGGGCGCAAGCCUGAUGCAGCCAUGCCGCGUGUAUGAAGAAGGCCUUCGGGUUGUAAAGUACUUUCAGCGGGGAGGAAGGGAGUAAAGUUAAUACCUUUGCUCAUUGACGUUACCCGCAGAAGAAGCACCGGCUAACUCCGUG